AGUUUUAAUAAUUUAACAAAAAUAGUAGUCUUGUAAACUAAAAUUAGGAAAAUUACCUUUAAAACU
rnacentral:tRNA from 1 species